GGUAAAAUGGCCGAGAUUAGGCGUUAAAUUGUAAAUUUAUUCACGAAAUUAGUUUUCUUUUACCA
rnacentral:tRNA from 1 species